UAUAUCCUCUCUUUGGCAUAUGGUGGGACAACUCAGGCGUCCCUGGAGCCGGCGAGGACCCUGCGAGGGGCCUGAGGGCGGGGCCUGAGCCAGCCUCUCCAGCCGCCGGUCCUUUGAGGACUCCACCGUCCGCUUCUUGGGCGUCAGUUUCAUCCUCCAGGGCCUUCCAGUCUUCAGCAUGCCUGGUCCGACCCCCAGUGGCACUAAUGUGGGCUCGUCGGGGCGCUCACCCAGCAAAGCAGUGGCCGCCCGGGCGGCUGGAUCCACGGUCCGGCAGAGAAAAAAUGCGAGCUGUGGAACAAGGAGCGCGGGGCGCACAACCUCAGCAGGCACUGGGGGCAUGUGGCGAUUCUACACAGAAGACUCCCCUGGGCUCAAGGUUGGCCCUGUUCCAGUAUUGGUUAUGAGUCUUCUGUUCAUCGCUUCUGUAUUUAUGUUGCACAUUUGGGGCAAGUACACUCGUUCAUAGAUUCGGCUACAUCCAUCUGUCUGUCAUCUGAAGAAGAAGGAAAAAAAAACAUAUCUUGGACCAAAUGCAUAGUGACUUUCUGUUUGUGAGAAAGAAGUAUUCUGUAAGCUUAUUGUUUUACAGGGAACUUAAGAAUUGAUUUAAGGAAUCAAUUUUUUUCUAUGGCUAAUAAACUUUUUAAUUCAUUUAUAC